rnacentral:rRNA from 1 species
UACGUAGGGGGCAAGCGUUGUCCGGAUUUAUUGGGCGUAAAGAGCGUGUAGGCGGCCUGAAAGGUCAGCUGUGAAAACUCGAGGCUCAACUUCGAGCUGUCGGUGGAAACUUUCUGGCUAGAGUCCGGAAGAGGAGAAUGGAAUUCCUGGUGUAGCGGUGAAAUGCGCAGAUAUCAGGAAGAACACCCGUGGCGAAGGCGGUUCUCUGGGACGGUACUGACGCUGAGACGCGAAAGCGUGGGGAGCGAACAGG